AGACAGACAGUUAAAUUUGAAUUUCAGGUAAACAAUGAAUAAUUUUUAGUUUAACUAUGUCCCAUGCAAUAUAUGGGACAUAUUUAUGCUAAAAAAAAGUAUUCAUUGCUUAUCUGAAAUUCAAAUUUAACUAGUUGUCCUGCA
rnacentral:miRNA from 10 species